AUUGUAGUCUGCAACCCGACUACAUGAAGCUGGAAUCGCUAGUAAUCGCGGAUCAGAAUGCCGCGGUGAAUACGUUCCCGGGUCUUGUACACACCGCCCGUCACACCAUGGGAGUCGGAAAUGCCCGAAGUCAGUGACCUAACCGAAAGGAAGGAGCUGCCGAAGGUGGAGCCGGUAACUGGGGUGAAGUCGUAACAAGGUACC
rnacentral:rRNA from 1 species